rnacentral:rRNA from 1 species
UACAGAGGUCUCAAGCGUUGUUCGGAUUCAUUGGGCGUAAAGGGUGCGUAGGCGGCGCGGUAAGUCGGGUGUGAAUACUCGAGCUUAACUCCGAAACUGCGAUUCGUACUGCCGUGCUUGAGGACUGGAGAGGAGACUGGAAUUUACGGUGUAGCGGUGAAAUGCGUAGAUAUCGUAAGGAAGACCAGUGGCGAAGGCGGGGUCUCUGGGCCGAUACUGACGCUGGAGGAGCGAAAAGCGUGGGAGCGAACAGG